GUGACCUCAAAUCAGGUAGGACUACCCGCUGAACUUAAGCAUAUCANUAAGCGGAGGAAAAGAAACUAACAAGGAUUCCCCUAGUAACUGCGAGUGAAGCGGGAAAAGCUCAAAUUUAAAAUCUGUCAGUCUUUUGACUGUCCGAGUUGUAAUCUAGAGAAGUGUUAUCCGCGCUGGACCGUGUACAAGUCUCCUGGAAUGGAGCGUCAUAGAGGGUGAGAAUCCCGUCUUUGACACGGACUGCCAGGGCUUUUGUGAUGCGCUCUCAAAGAGUCGAGUUGUUUGGGAAUGCAGCUCAAAAUGGGUGGUAAAUUCCAUCUAAAGCUAAAUAUUGGCGAGAGACCGAUAGCGAACAAGUACCGUGAGGGAAAGGUGAAAAGAACUUUGGAAAGAGAGUUAAAUAGUACGUGAAAUUGCUGAAAGGGAAACGCUUGAAGUCAGUCGCGUUGUCCAGGAAUCAACCUUGCUUUUGCUUGGUUUACUUUCUAGUUGACGGGUCAGCAUCAAUUUUGACUGUUGGAAAAAGAUCAAGGGAAUGUGGCAUCUUUGGAUGUGUUAUAGCCUUUGGUUGAAUACAAUGGUUAGGAUUGAGGAACUCAGCACGC
rnacentral:rRNA from 2 species